rnacentral:sRNA from 1 species
UCACUUCGGAAUGCGAUCCUGCUGGACC